GUAAUUUCCGGUAAGUAUUUUAAAGCCAUAUAAUUAAUUAGUUCUUUGUAUGAAUUUUUCCUCUAGGUGAUCCAGAGAGGCUUGACCUUUGGGUGAGCAACCAAAAAAGAGAGUGCUGGACUCCCAAUUCAUUCUCCCGUUUGUGCAGUGAACACUUUGAGAGUCAUCACUUCACCACGGACUCCAGGGGGAGAGUUUGCCUGAAGGACACAGCCGUACCUACAAUCUUCUCGUCCUUUAAGGUCAAAAAACCUGUUCCAAGAAGGGAAGAACAGGUAAGUAGGAAUGACAAGGCAAGUUUUGAACGUCAUCAGCUUAUCUGAAAGUAAGAUUUAAAAGACCCUAUCAUCUUUGGUGAUCUCACGCCUACACAACAUCCUUUGUUCUAAUGGUGAAAUUCAUUUGAGCUGAUCUUUUACCUGCUGACCUCUAUAACUUUAUUCCUGUUCCUAAUUACAAAGAAACACCUGUGCAGAGGAGGUGUUUUGAAGGUGACAGUUUCUGCUUAUCAAGCAACAAUUGACAGCUACAAUAAAGCCUGAUUCAUGCUUCUCUGUCAGCUCCAACAGGGAGAGACACGCACGCACGGACGGAGACGUUUAGCUGUCAUACUUCUCCGUCUUCUGGGGAGUGUUGCAAAGCAAUUCCCGGACCGGACAGCAGAGGGCGGAGAGCUGUUCUGUGGUAUCCUGUCAUGUAUCGGUCCAAAAUAGUGCGAUGAUAUUGUGUUUUUUGUACAUAACAGACUUUUUAACAGACAAAUUUGUCUCAUUCUCCUACACCUCUUCACGGGCUCGCCACCUCUAAACCCAUGAUUCCUGUCAUUUCCGUCUACAAAUAAAACGCUUGCUGUGGAUCGUUUCACUCCUCCAGUCACGG